UCUCUGAUGGUCCAGUGGUUGGGAUUUGGCAUUUUCACUGGCAAGGUCUGGGUUUGAUCCCUGGUUGGGGAA
rfam:TPA: Bos taurus chromosome 9, whole genome shotgun sequence.